CUUCCUUGCCUCUUCCAGCUUUGGAGGCUCCUGGCAAUCCUUAUCUUGGGCUGUAUCUCUCCAGUCUUGGCCUCCGUCUUCGCAUGGACUUCUCUUCUGUGCCUGUCUCCCAAAUCUCCCUCUGCCUUUCUCUUAUAAGGACACUUGUCAUUUGAUGUAGGGGCCACCCUAAAUCCAGCAUGACCUCGUCUUGAGAUGCCUAACUUAAUUACUUGUGUGAAGACCCUUUUCCAUAAAAGAUCAGUCAUAGGUUCCAAGGAUUAGGACUUUUGGGGACCACUGUUGAACUUACUAUGGUGGUGGUAGGUGGAAGGAAGGGCAGAGAAAAGGAAAAAGGGAGAGAGCAUGACUUUUUCUCUGAAUUCAAGUAGUAUAGUUUGACUGGAGUGGGCAGAAGACCCAACAGCCUUGCCUAGAGCCACUGUCCUGAAGAGGCAGAAAGGUCUGGAAUUCGACAUCGUAUUUGAGGAUGUUCUCACUGGAGAUGGACAUGGCUGGUGUAGCAUCGUUGAUGAUUUCAGUGCCAGGAGUUGCUUAUGGAGAAAAGCUACUCAAGGGACAGUUUCAUGUGAUUUUGACCCACACUCAUUACUUUAAGAGAGGGAGCUACGGGGAAGAGUUGUACCCCAGAAACCAAUUAUACCGUUUUGAAAGCCAGUGUCACGUUGGCAAAGAGUCCAGUUGGAGACCAAAAUCUGGAUGGCUAUGGAGAUGUCUUAUGGAAUCUAAGAACAGAAAUGCAGAUAAGCACAGAAAAGCUGCCAGGAGCCCAGAAAGCCAGUCGGAGCUCGUGAUGGUGCUCAGCCUUCUACGUAGACGCCGUCCCUCCUCACUCGGAAGGAAGGAUUCCAAGAAGGUGAUCUCCUGUGGGGCUGUCUUCUAGAAUUCUAGGAUUUUCUUGGUUCCACCUCCAUAAUCAGCCCCAAAUUCAAGUACUAAGAGACACUCAGUCUUCAUGGUCAUAGUGAGCCACGUUUCUCCUCUGAAGCAAGUAUUGGCUGUGAACCAAUAUUACACAUUUUAAAUUUAUUUUCUUUGAUUCAGAUCUUCUCCAUGCAGAUUUAUGAACACUAGAUAUGGGAUCAAUUUAGCCCUAAUUUUGCCAUAUUUUACUUGGCCAUUCUGAGACGGAGCUUUUACUCAAGUGGCUAUAGUUAAGAUAUCAAAUAUUUGAAAAGCUGAACUGCUUUUGUUUUGUACUUGGCAUUUGUUGCACAGAAGACAGCUUGGAGCAUGUGUUUCCUCUCCCUCUAAGUAAGAACACAUCUCUUGAAAAGGUUUGGCACAGUCUUGCCAAAGGAGGAAGCAGGAAACUCAAGCCAGCCUGGAGUUUCGUGAGCCAUGGAAAACUGGCUCAAUUCACCAUGAAAAUAAUUUGGAAACAAGAAGUGAGUUCAGAGGGGCCCCUUCCUAGCUCAGUUCUUCAU